UACGAAGGGGGCUAGCGUUGUUCGGAAUUACUGGGCGUAAAGGGCGCGUAGGCGGCGUGUCAAGUCAGGCGUGAAAGCCCCGGGCUCAACCUGGGAACCGCGCUUGAGACUGGCAUGCUCGAGUUCGGGAGAGGAUGGUGGAAUUCCCAGUGUAGAGGUGAAAUUCGUAGAUAUUGGGAAGAACACCGAUGGCGAAGGCAGCCAUCUGGACCGACACUGGACGCUGAGGCGCGAAAGCGUGGGGAGCAAA
rnacentral:rRNA from 1 species